rnacentral:rRNA from 1 species
GAUGAGCGCUGGCGGCGUGCCUAAUACAUGCAAGUCGAGCGAACGGACGAGAAGCUUGCUUCUCUGAUGUUAGCGGCGGACGGGUGAGUAACACGUGGAUAACCUACCUAUAAGACUGGGAUAACUUCGGGAAACCGGAGCUACUACCGGAUAAUAUUUUGAACCGCAUGGUUCAAAAGUGAAAGACGGUCUUGCUGUCACUUAUAGAUGGAUCCGCGCUGCAUUAGCUAGUUGGUAAGGUAACGGCUUACCAAGGCAACGAUGCAUAGCCGACCUGAGAGGGUGAUCGGCCACACUGGAACUGAGACACGGUCCAGACUCCUACGGGAGGCAGCAGUAGGGAAUCUUCCGCAAUGGGCGAAAGCCUGACGGAGCAACGCCGCGUGAGUGAUGAAGGUCUUCGGAUCGUAAAACUCUGUUAUUAGGGAAGAACAUAUGUGUAAGUAACUGUGCACAUCUUGACGGUACCUAAUCAGAAAGCCACGGCUAACUACGUG